rnacentral:rRNA from 1 species
AGUAGCGGAGGAAAAGAAACUAAAUAGGAUUCCCUCAGUAAUGGCGAAUGAACAGGGAUGAGCUCAGUAUGGAAAUUGGGGCCUGUGGCCUUGAAUUGUAGUCUGGAGAUGUACCACCAACUGGGGCGCAGAUGUAAGCCUCUUGGAAAAGAGCAUCAAUGAGGGUGAGAGUCCCGCUUGGCAUCUGCAGUCCCCAGUGCACGGUGUACCUUCUAAGAGUCACGUUCCUCGGGAUUGGAGCGCAAAUCGGGUGGUAAGUUUCAUCUAAAGCUAAAUAUUGUUUCGAGACCGAUAGCAAACAAGUACCAUGAGGGAAAGGUGAAAAGGACUUUGAAAAGAGAGUUAAAAGUGCCUGAAAUUGCUGAAAGGGAAGCGAAUGGAAUCAGCGUAACUUGGUGAGAUUGCUGCGUGUCAAUGUGAUUGCUUGCUGCUUCAACGUAAGUGUUGUAGUAAGUCUUGAGCAGGACAUGCGCGGUGCUUCUUGCCUUGUGUGUCACCGUCAGUUCGCAGCUGAGGAAAACUUCAAGGACAUGGUAGCCUGUCUCCGGACGGGUGAAUGUGUUUGCUGGAACUCAUUUGUGGAUUGCUUGGUGACUAAAUGGUUCCAUCUGACCCGUCUUGAAACACGGACCAAGGAGUCUAACAUAUGUGCAAGUUCACGGGUGUUAAACCUGCUUGCGUAAUGAAAGUGACUGCUGGGAUUUUUGCACCAGCAACCGACCAAUCAAUUGAGAGAGGUUUGAGUAUGAGCAUAUCUGUUAGGACCCGAAAGAUGGUGAACUAUGGCCUGUGAAGGGCAAACUCAGGGGAAACUCUGAUGGAGGCUCC